CUGUUGAUGUGGGUCAGUUUUCAGUACGGUCCUGAUAUUAUUUUUAAAUAGUCUCAUUGCAUGUCUCUCAGUUUAUUAUUCUUGCGUAUGUGGAAGAAGACACAUGUGAUACCGAUAAAGUAUUGAACCAGUACUGUGGAACUUAUAGGAAAGCCUAUUUCCGCGAUGGUAAAGGUCCAGGUGCGUUUCGGGCCGUACGAGAUAGGAUGAAUAAAGCUUUUGUACUCGGAGACGUCGCUCCAACCGCUCAUCCGUGCGCUGGCUGACGCUGGUUACGUAGUGUCGACAGUCAAGGUGGGCAGGAGGGACGCUUGCGACAUUUUCGCCGGAAGGGAGCGCCUCUGGUCCGGUAGCUUUGAUCGUUUCAUGGAUGCGGCCGAUAAGAAGGCGGCGAUCAACGAGGCGCUGGCUGCCUGCUCAAGGAAACUUCCUGCCAACAAGUAAAAUGAUCUCCGAUGUCCAAGAGACCGCUCUCAUCAGGUCUCCACUCAAUGCUCGGCUUUACAAACACCCUCAGAACCACCAUCACAAAAUCGAUCAUUAAACAAAAAUAGACAAAAGGACAAAACUGGAUGAGAUAUGGUCACUGUUUCGCGAGUGAUUCGUGUCACUGCUAGAAUGUGUACACGUACUGAGUUCAUUGCGAAUAUUUUGGACGUGUUUUUGUUAGAUUUGGUCGAAAUGACAACAUUGCUUCCAACGACGACGACACCGAGGUCUGACAUGACAAAACCUCGACUUUUUGAAAAACAGACGAGUUAAGAAAUAACAUGAUGACUUCAAAUUAGAAACAACUUUGGGAAUUAAUCUGUUUCAUGUGACGUUAAAGCUUGGCGUUGAGUGGAAGACUUCCACCCAUUUAGCAUUAUACAGAACUAUGACGUGAUUGUUUAAAAUGUGAAAGAACAGUCAUUGAUGAUUGCUGUAUACUAGCAAGAGGGGUUUAUCAAAUGAAUUUAACCUGUGUGUGUGUGUGUGUGCGUGUGCGUGCGUGUGUGCGCGCGUGUGUGGGUGUGUGUGUGUGUUUUGUAUCUUAUAAUUUACAUCAGAAAUGUUUACAUUCAUGUUGCACAUUCAAUGCAACCACUUUUAAUUAUUGUUACAAUUAAUUUCUUGAAUGAAGAUGCUGACAACAAUAACAACUAAAUUGCUUUCUUGAAAAAGCCGUUGUCUUCCCCAUUGUGUGGUCGUAGAUGAGUAAUAAUCAAUGAUAGACCUGAAAUUUGUACUUUUUGACUGGAAACGAACCAACAAAGGGGUCAUCUAUUGGUCAUGACCAACCUGCAUACCAUGUAGGGCGUUCCUGGUCCAAGUAUGAGGUUUUUGGGUUCAGGCAGUCUUUGAUUAUUUAGCGGAAAUGAAGCGUGAAGCACGGACUGGUGACAAACAAAUCGUUUUUCACCUGAAGGUUACUGUGACCUUGACCUACUGACCUCAAAAUCAAUAGAAAUCAUAAACUAAUCAUGA